GACAUGAUAGUUUAAAAAAAACAUUGGUCUUGUAAACCAAAAUUAAAUAACAAAAUUUCAAGUCA
rnacentral:tRNA from 1 species